UUCGAGUUUUCUUUGCCGUCUCUUCACGAACUCACCACUCGAGCUCCUCUCUGCCUCUGUUCUUCCAUGCCUCACCAUUGUAUCUUCUCUGCAUGGCCUUUCGUCCGACCAACUGUUAUUAACCGAAGCUAAAUCUAAUGGCUGAUUCACGCUCUUCCAUUACAAGGUUUUCACAUGCAGUGAUCAGUCUAUCUGCAAUUCUAAUUGGAGAUGAUUUUGGUUUGUUUUGAGUGACAAAACGGCUGCAAAAACCAGUGAGAAGAGCAAGGGUAUUGCUGGUGGAUUUUGAAGACGAAGAUCAAUUUCAGAAUGGGUUCACGUUGAGGGGGAUGAAGAUGGCAGUUAACAACCCAAAAAAUCUGGGGCUGUUUUGGGUUGCUGUAAUUAGGGAUUUCUGGGUUCGAUUCAAAUCAGUGGGAGUGCGAUGAAUCAAUCAUGGACUGAAAUUAUUCCAAGCAAGAGAAGCCGGUACAACCAAUGGGGAUCGCUGACAAACAUCCAUUUCUAAGAAAGCUCUAUGUCCAAGUUGUUUGGAGCGUCGAGUCAUUAGUAUGUAUGAGAGUCGGUCGAAGAAGAAUUUGUCCAUGCAGACUAUCCAAGUGUUGGUUCAAAUAUGUACUAAGAUCAUGUUUCUUGGGAUGGAUAUGGGGCAACCUUUGAAUAGCUUCGCAGAAUUGGUGCUCGGAGAUAUUGGACUCAUGUACUUUCUUCGCCACUCUUGCAGAAUGGCUCUAUGGUCAAUGGGAGAAACUUGCUCCAUAGAAUGGACUUUGGCAUCUAGAUUCCAAUUGAUGAUGUAGAGGCUGUAUUGGCUGUGACAGGGGCAUAGAGGAGCAUAGAUGUUACAAUGUGGGUUUCUGAUAACGAUCUGGAUGCAAGCCUUUACCGGAUUGGAUAUCGUGGAAUUCUGCUCCGGUUUCGUGUGCAUUGGAAAUGGUUUGUUAGGAUCGUUGUUGUGUAUUUUGUUUCGGCAGUGUGGUUUUUGACGUCUAACAUGCUUAUUCGUGCUUUUGCAGCUGGCUGAAAUCCAGCAUUUUCGCAUGUAUUUGUUUGCCAUAUAUAUUUGUUUCAGAAAGCCAUGGAGAUUCUGCAAA